AGUGAAGAAGGGAAUGAGGGACGGAAAGAGAGAGAAGGCGAAGAGAGGAGAAAGCUCUUAGCAUAUGAAACUGCAGCUAGGACUAAAACCAGAGGAGGGCACACAGAAUCUUGACUGCUCUUCAGAAAUAUGUGGCACUCCAUUAAAAUGAAGAUUUUUGCUGCUCACUCCAGAAAUAUUGAAUCAAAACGUGGAGCAUGAGACAGGCAAGGCCAGUGAAGGAGUGUGGCUCCGAUAGGAUUGACAACUACUACCUUAGAUGAUGAAUCAAGCUCAGAAGGGAUCCCUCUGGAUUUCCCAGCGCCAUGUAAGAAGUGCCUGCUUUCCCUUUGCCUUCUGCUGUGAUCGUUUCCUGAGGCCUCCCCAGUCAUGUUACCUGUACAGCCUGCAGAACUGUGAAGAAACCGAGGCAAUGAAUGAAGUAAUAUACCCAAGAUCACAUUGCCAGUGAAUGGGAGAGCUGACGUUUGAAUCUACACAGAACCUGUGCUCUUAGCUAUCUAACCGCUUUACUUGGAAGUGAUGUGAGAUU